rnacentral:rRNA from 1 species
UACGAAGGUGGCAAGCGUUGUUCGGAUUUACUGGGCGUAAAGGGCGCGUAGGCGGUGUGUCAAGUCAGGCGUGAAAGCCCCGGGCUCAACCUGGGAACAGCGCUUGAGACUGGCACGCUCGAGUUCGGGAGAGGAUGGUGGAAUUCCCAGUGUAGAGGUGAAAUUCGUAGAUAUUGGGAAGAACACCGAUGGCGAAGGCAGCCAUCUGGACCGACACUGACGCUGAGGCGCGAAAGCGUGGGGAGCAAACAGG